AUCAGCAGCAGCAAAUUGUGUGAGCUGAGGAAAAAAUCAAAAUACUUCAAAAUGCAAGAUAUUAAAAAUGUAAGUAAAAUUUAAUUGUGUUAAUUAACGAAUAUUAUAUUGGAAUAUCAUUUUAGAUUUAUGAAAAUGUGCUGAAAAUGGCAAGAAAAUGCAGCAACAGAAUUCGUGUCAAACGAAUCAAAAAUUGUAAAGGUAAUAAUGUAUAGGUAUUAUUACAAAAAUCUCUUUGACAGAAUUCGUGGCAUUCGCCACCUAACUACUUUCGAGCCCGACAGGGCUUUUGACAAUUCGACAUGUGACUCCAACAGACCAACGUGUUUCGUCUUUGCUCGGGUUAAUCGAAGAGUCCGAUUUAACCCGAGUUGAGAUGGCUAAGCAUCGAUUCUUUUGUGGAAGCACUUGAGAAUGGUGGCAUCAACACCGUUUUCAGGAUGUCUCUGCGGAGGAUGAGAUGUUUUUUAUGAUUUUUAUUUAUUUUAUUUUCAGGAUUUGGCGUUAGGCACAACAGUUGGGUUUAUCAGUUGGGUAAUGUUGUAUCCUUACAAGAAGCAAGGGGUAGACAUUAACUAGCUGAUAAGCCGGAUUGUUGUGCCUGGGUACGAUUGUUGGGCUCGUCGUCAGAGGGUGUUGUAUCCUUCCAAGAAGCGAAGGGUAGACACAAUCUGGCUGAUGAGCCCAACUUUUGUGCCCAAGGACAAGCGAAGGGUUGACACAAUCUGGCUGAUGACCCCAACUUUUGUGCCCAAGGACGAGUCGGUGACGGAUGAGCCCAAAUGUUUUCUUGAUUCUCCUUUCAAUAUGAUUUUCUUCAACACACAUCGAACGGUGCAUUAAACGCAUGAAAACAAAAAAAAAAAGAAA